rnacentral:rRNA from 1 species
GGGUUGUGAGGUUAAGCGACUAAGCGUACACGGUGGAUGCCCUGGCAGUCAGAGGCGAUGAAGGACGUGCUAAUCUGCGAUAAGCGUCGGUAAGGUGAUAUGAACCGUUAUAACCGGCGAUUUCCGAAUGGGGAAACCCAGUGUGAUUCGUCACACUAUCAUUAACUGAAUCCAUAGGUUAAUGAGGCGAACCGGGGGAACUGAAACAUCUAAGUACCCCGAGGAAAAGAAAUCAACCGAGAUUCCCCCAGUAGCGGCGAGCGAACGGGGAGCAGCCCAGAGCCUGAAUCAGUGUGUGUGUUAGUGGAAGCGUCUGGAAAGGCGCGCGAUACAGGGUGACAGCCCCGUACACAAAAAUGCACAUGCUGUGAGCUCGAUGAGUAGGGCGGGACACGUGGUAUCCUGUCUGAAUAUGGGGGGACCAUCCUCCAAGGCUAAAUACUCCUGACUGACCGAUAGUGAACCAGUACCGUGAGGGAAAGGCGAAAAGAACCCCGGCGAGGGGAGUGAAAAAGAACCUGAAACCGUGUACGUACAAGCAGUGGGAGCACAGAGCAAUCUGUGUGACUGCGUACCUUUUGUAUAAUGGGUCAGCGACUUAUAUUCUGUAGCAAGGUUAACCGAAUAGGGGAGCCGAAGGGAAACCGAGUCUUAACUGGGCGUUAAGUUGCAGGGUAUAGACCCGAAACCCGGUGAUCUAGCCAUGGGCAGGUUGAAGGUUGGGUAACACUAACUGGAGGACCGAACCGACUAAUGUUGAAAAAUUAGCGGAUGACUUGUGGCUGGGGGUGAAAGGCCAAUCAAACCGGGAGAUAGCUGGUUCUCCCCGAAAGCUAUUUAGGUAGCGCCUCGUGAAUUCAUCUCCGGGGGUAGAGCACUGUUUCGGCAAGGGGGUCAUCCCGACUUACCAACCCGAUGCAAACUGCGAAUACCGGAGAAUGUUAUCACGGGAGACACACGGCGGGUGCUAACGUCCGUCGUGAAGAGGGAAACAACCCAGACCGCCAGCUAAGGUCCCAAAGUCAUGGUUAAGUGGGAAACGAUGUGGGAAGGCCCAGACAGCCAGGAUGUUGGCUUAGAAGCAGCCAUCAUUUAAAGAAAGCGUAAUAGCUCACUGGUCGAGUCGGCCUGCGCGGAAGAUGUAACGGGGCUAAACCAUGCACCGAAGCUGCGGCAGCGACGCUUAUGCGUUGUUGGGUAGGGGAGCGUUCUGUAAGCCUGUGAAGGUGUACUGUGAGGUAUGCUGGAGGUAUCAGAAGUGCGAAUGCUGACAUAAGUAACGAUAAAGCGGGUGAAAAGCCCGCUCGCCGGAAGACCAAGGGUUCCUGUCCAACGUUAAUCGGGGCAGGGUGAGUCGACCCCUAAGGCGAGGCCGAAAGGCGUAGUCGAUGGGAAACAGGUUAAUAUUCCUGUACUUGGUGUUACUGCGAAGGGGGGACGGAGAAGGCUAUGUUGGCCGGGCGACGGUUGUCCCGGUUUAAGCGUGUAGGCUGGUUUUCCAGGCAAAUCCGGAAAAUCAAGGCUGAGGCGUGAUGACGAGGCACUACGGUGCUGAAGCAACAAAUGCCCUGCUUCCAGGAAAAGCCUCUAAGCAUCAGGUAACAUCAAAUCGUACCCCAAACCGACACAGGUGGUCAGGUAGAGAAUACCAAGGCGCUUGAGAGAACUCGGGUGAAGGAACUAGGCAAAAUGGUGCCGUAACUUCGGGAGAAGGCACGCUGAUAUGUAGGUGAAGUCCCUCGCGGAUGGAGCUGAAAUCAGUCGAAGAUACCAGCUGGCUGCAACUGUUUAUUAAAAACACAGCACUGUGCAAACACGAAAGUGGACGUAUACGGUGUGACGCCUGCCCGGUGCCGGAAGGUUAAUUGAUGGGGUUAGCGCAAGCGAAGCUCUUGAUCGAAGCCCCGGUAAACGGCGGCCGUAACUAUAACGGUCCUAAGGUAGCGAAAUUCCUUGUCGGGUAAGUUCCGACCUGCACGAAUGGCGUAAUGAUGGCCAGGCUGUCUCCACCCGAGACUCAGUGAAAUUGAACUCGCUGUGAAGAUGCAGUGUACCCGCGGCAAGACGGAAAGACCCCGUGAACCUUUACUAUAGCUUGACACUGAACAUUGAGCCUUGAUGUGUAGGAUAGGUGGGAGGCUUUGAAGUGUGGACGCCAGUCUGCAUGGAGCCGACCUUGAAAUACCACCCUUUAAUGUUUGAUGUUCUAACGUUGACCCGUAAUCCGGGUUGCGGACAGUGUCUGGUGGGUAGUUUGACUGGGGCGGUCUCCUCCUAAAGAGUAACGGAGGAGCACGAAGGUUGGCUAAUCCUGGUCGGACAUCAGGAGGUUAGUGCAAUGGCAUAAGCCAGCUUGACUGCGAGCGUGACGGCGCGAGCAGGUGCGAAAGCAGGUCAUAGUGAUCCGGUGGUUCUGAAUGGAAGGGCCAUCGCUCAACGGAUAAAAGGUACUCCGGGGAUAACAGGCUGAUACCGCCCAAGAGUUCAUAUCGACGGCGGUGUUUGGCACCUCGAUGUCGGCUCAUCACAUCCUGGGGCUGAAGUAGGUCCCAAGGGUAUGGCUGUUCGCCAUUUAAAGUGGUACGCGAGCUGGGUUUAGAACGUCGUGAGACAGUUCGGUCCCUAUCUGCCGUGGGCGCUGGAGAAUUGAGGGGGGCUGCUCCUAGUACGAGAGGACCGGAGUGGACGCAUCACUGGUGUUCGGGUUGUCAUGCCAAUGGCACUGCCCGGUAGCUAAAUGCGGAAGAGAUAAGUGCUGAAAGCAUCUAAGCACGAAACUUGCCCCGAGAUGAGUUCUCCCUGACUCCUUGAGAGUCCUGAAGGAACGUUGAAGACGACGACGUUGAUAGGCCGGGUGUGUAAGCGCAGCGAUGCGUUGAGCUAACCGGUACUAAUGAACCGUGAGGCUUAACCUUACAACGCCGAAGGUGUUU